GUUGUAUGGUUAAGUGACUAAGCGUACAGGGCGGAUGCCUUGGCAAUCAGAGGCGAUGA
rnacentral:rRNA from 1 species